GCCAGACUCCUACGGGAGGCAGCAGUGGGGAAUAUUGCACAAUGGGGGAAACCCUGAUGCAGCGACGCCGCGUGAGUGAAGAAGUAUUUCGGUAUGUAAAGCUCUAUCAGCAGGAACGAGACAAGACGGUACCUGACUAAGAAGCCCCGGCUAACUACGUGCCAGCAGCCGCGGUAAUACGUAGGGGGCAAGCGUUAUCCGGAAUCACUGGGUGUAAAGGGAGCGUAGACGGCUGUGCAAGCCUGAAGUGAAAGGCGGGGGCCCAACCCCUGGACUGCUUUGGGAACUGUACGGCUGGAGUGCAGGAGAGGUAAGUGGAAUUCCUAGUGUAGCGGUGAAAUGCGUAGAUAUUAGGAGGAACACCAGUGGCGAAGGCGGCUUACUGGACUGUAACUGACGUUGAGGCUCGAAAGCGUGGGGAGCAAACAGGAUUAGAUACCCGGGUACG
rnacentral:rRNA from 1 species